rnacentral:hammerhead_ribozyme from 1 species
GUCUAACUGACAUGUCCCAAAUAGGACGAAACGCACGUCGUGGAU